ACCAGUUGUUUUAUUCCCCCCCUUCUUAGAGUGUCACUGCUCGCUGUUUAAAAAUCUGUUUAUGCCUGUUUGUUUCCUUCCCGACCUCUAUUAACACUUGGCGACAGGAACACCUUCACCAUCCAUAACCUCUGACUCUAAGUGACUGGCUAUAGGAUGGUAAAAUGAAAUAUACCAGGUGGCUUCAGCAGGCACAUUUCACUGACUUAUAUCCAUCUAUAAGUGCAAAGAAGAGAAAGAGUAACAACCACUUUAGGAGCGGUAUCAAACAUCUCUACAGACUGAUAUUGCAUCCGAGUUUCUUAUUCGAUUCAUCAAAGACAAAAUUGGAAGCAAACACACAGUUGCGCACAAGAAAACCUAGCUUAGCUGCGCAGGUUUGACCUAAAUCGAAGUCAAAAUUGCUUAUUUUUAAGUUUUGAUUGUAACCUUUGACAGCGCCAUAUCCACCAUGAAUCUCUGGGCUCUGGAGCAUCCGGCGCCAUCCGAUCAUAUUUGCUCUCAUCCAGCAGAACCCUCUCCACCUCGUGUUUUCACAUCUCUGUGGGAUUUGAUUAAUGAAGCAGAUUUCCGGCUAUCAAGCUGGGUGCAAACUGUUCAAUUAUGCAUCUUGGACUCUCCUCAUAUCGUGUUUUAGUAUCUUCGCCGGCGUCUCCGGGCCCACACGUGUGGGAGGGCCGAGCUGGAGUUCGAGCUAUAUUUGUCUGAGUGAUGACCUUUGCCAUGGCAACAAAUUAAAGUGGAGUGAUUGGCACAGCACUGUCAAUUUGCUCUUUCAUGAGGUCCUCGCCGAGGUUGUCGCAGAGAUCCUGGCAGGACUCAAUUCACAUUCAGAGUUAAUCAAAAUGCAUGGCUGGGGCAGGCAAGGAGGCAGCCGGCUCAUGCUGUAAACAGUAAAGGAGCAGUUUACAACCUGACGCAGACAUCUGUCCUCAUCUGGCACAGCUGCUCCAAGAGUGCCUUAUGAUUGUUUGGUUGCUUUUGCAGACACUCCAACAACUUUCAUAUUUUAUAUCGGAGCACGCUGUUUGUUAUACAGCAGUCUCUUUAGCUGCUAUAAUUCUUGGCGGAUAAAAAGCCUUGGGUGAUGUGCUGGUGGGGCUUUGAGAAACAAAACAUUCGCAUCUCAGCAGGUGAAAGUUAAGAUUAUCAUACCUCUUGUAAACACGAGGAUUUUCACUUCUUAUUCAUUACAGCUGUUCUUCUUGAUGCCAAGGAAACCAACAUGAGUGGCCUCAAAUGUCUUUGUCUUUUUUGUUAGUCUGAAUAUUUGGUUCUCAAAGGACCUUGAUGUGUGAUAAAAAAGGAAAAAUACAGAAGUGUUUUGAUCAAAUGGUGCAUGAAUCCUGACCAAACAGCGAGAGUGUUAUAUUUCACCUGAAAUGAGAUGCACUGUAAUAUUUGGGCUGCUUCUAAAUUUGUUAUUCACACUAUUUUUUUUAUAGUUCUGCACCAAUGAUUAUGUUAAAUCUACAAACUGUUAAUGAGAAAAUAAAUGGGAAAAAGUUUGCUUUAAAUAAGUCAAGGACAGUGUUAGUUCAGGCAGGCCGCAAGAUCCAUAAUAAAGCUUAUUCUGUCAAAACAAUAAUUAGGGGUGUGCUGGAAUGAUAUUGAUAUCAGAUAUCAGUCCAGUAUCAGCAAAAAAAAAAUAUAUCGGAUCAUACCGACCUGCAUCUAAAAUCUCUGAUAUCAGUACUCGGAUACAAGCAGUCCAUUUCAGACUCCGUUUUGGCACCUCUAUCUAGCAGCAACCAGAUCCAGCAUAAAGAGCCAACAUAAUCCUAACAACAGUGUGUACUAAGGUACGAACAAAGUAGCAAAGAGUAGGAAUGAUGUUGGCCAUGUGGCAGUAUUUUUCGUUAAAGUCCGAAAAGACAUUGCAGCUGAGUGAAAAACUUGUCAUACACAAUUUUGUGCCAAUAUCGGAGCAAUAUCGGUAUCGGUCGAUACUGAAGGCUAAAAUAUCGGUAUCGUAUCGGAAGUAAAAAAGUUGUAUCGGGACAACCUGAAUCAUAGUAUCUCAUUUAAAGUGGCCUUGACUGAAAUUCAUGUCUCAGUGUUUCCCUUCAUUAAUUCCGCAGCGACGCACUGCCACUGCUGAAUUACGUGCACCGCUACUGAAAUUUCACAUGAUCAUUGAAAUCAAUGCGCCACAAAUGAUUUCUACUCGCACUGUGUGAGCACAACAACACACAACGUUAUUUUUGACUUGUUUUGAGUCUUUAACAAGCGCAUCAAAUCCUUCCUUCAACGUGAAAGGUAACGUUCGAGUUUAUACAUGGUCUGUAUAGCGAGUACCAUUAAUAGCAUUAAUAUAAAUGCACCACAAAUGAUUUCUACUCGCACUGUGUGAGCACAACAACACACACACGUUAUUUCCGACUUGUUUUGAGUCCUUAACGAGCACAUCAAAUUCUGUCUCACCCUCUUCCAUCAACGUGAAAGGUAACGUUCGAGUUUAUACACGGUCUAAAUAGCAAUUAGGGAAAUGUAACAUGAAGGUAACAGCGUAGCUCCAUAAGUGGCAAGAGAGAGAGUCGGGGUAACAGUGAAAAUCCCCCCUGAAACAGAAGCACCGCUGCUAAAAAAAAUUCUAGGGGAAACACUGUCUUAUCUAUUUGAAUUAGGAUAUGUCUCAGUUUUUGUGCAUAACAUAAGCAAGUUUCUGUUACUGAUGCACUGAAUUGAUUCUGAUUUGAGAUGCAUUUUAAAGUUAUUCUAAUGGAUAUAUUUUGAGGUUAGAAAUGGAUUUUUUUGUUUCUUGACGUGUUAAAAUAAAAAAAUAAAAAAAAAAUCAGGAGAGAAAUAAGAGAGAGAUUUUUGCAGUGCGCAACCACCACUUUUCUCUCUGGACGUCUGAGUUUGUUCUGUGAUGAAUCCCUGGCGAGCAAUGUAACAGGUGGGUGGAUGGACAAAACAAAAGAUCAAAUCAAUAGUUUCAGCCACCGCUUAAUUGCACAUCGGGAGCCAAAGGUUUUUUAUUACGGGCUCUGGUCAAACUUUUAAUAUACCUUGGGCCUCUAGAGUAUGGUGUUCCUGCACGCCGAGCUUUGUCCAAGAAAAAAAAAAAAAAAAGGCUUUCUCUCUUGUUUUUAUACACCCUGUCUUCCAGUCAACCCUUAGCAACUGGCAGUUUUCAGGAGAGCAGUUUACCAACAGCAGAGAAUGUAAUGAAGUCACAGUAUCUGAAUUAAGCCGCUUAUGAGAUUAGAGUAUUCAACCCACCUUCUCUGGUGUGGAAAUUAUUAGAAAACAAAAGGGUUUACCAGGCGCAGAGAUUUAAACUGAACUGGAGAUUUUCCUCCUCACUUCAAACCGCUGAAAUGUGCGCGCGGAUAAAAUUAGCAAUGCGGUCACACUUUUUAAUCAAAUGCAUGACUCUAGGAAAAGUCACGCACCUCCACAAAACACCCCGGGUUUACUCUCUCCUUUGUAAGCUUGACAUUUUUGUGCUAUGGUUUUAUGCGAUUUCGGGCCUCGAUAUUAGACAAAAAACAACCAAUAAUGAGAAUUUCACAGUGAGGGUUUGAAGGUGCUUACUGAGGCAAUCUCAAUUUCCGAGGAAGCGCGAAAAUGUAAUAUGCUCUAAAUAUGACGCAAAUGAGCCCAGAUCUAUGAUCUAAGAUUACUCCGAGUAUCGCAGCAUCCCGAGUCUGGCACAGCUAUCAUGAUGAGGAAUUUCAAGCGUGACCCAUCAAUUAUAAUAAUCAUGCUUCCUCUGACAUAUUAAUAUACUCUCAUUAGCUUUACAAAUCAGUCAAAGGGAAGCUUUGGAGGAGUACCUGUGCUUGAUAAAUCACAUCUCUUUUUGUGUAAACAGCUUGUUGCAGACAGAUGUAUUCACAUUGUUACAUAUCUGAGGGGUGAGGUGUAAAUAAUGCAUGAGUGUAAAGCAUGAGCAGUGGAACGUGUGAUAAACCAUGCAGCAUCUCAAAAAACCAGCGUCCUGGGAUUCUUGGGCUUCCUGCUGAACAUUCAGAGUGGAACAAGAAUCGAGCCGAAAAUAAAAUAGAUCCCGAUGCUGAGGACAACGCUAAGAAGAGACUAAAACCACAGCAGCAGUUCCGUGAGAUAUGAGGCUACUUUUUCUGAGGGUUAAGUUGAUCCUGGAAUGACGUAUAAUUUAUUCAAAGGAGCACAAAUGCAUGUUCGCAGCUUGAUGGAUAACCAGCCGUGCAGGAGUUGUCUCAAAACUUCACAUGCAUUAAUGAAUGUCAGCCUGGUGGUACCACUCAAAGAGAAGUAAGGGGUCACCAGGUUAUUAAGAUUAACCCUCCAGGGACCAGGAACACUUAUGAUGGGGUAUCAAGUAUUCUCAUAGACAAGAACUGCUCGUACUGAUAUGAGCGUUUAAAGCUCCUAUAAGUAGAUUUUUUACAUUCAUGGAAUAAGUUUAUAUUCAUAUUGAUGCUUUUUUAUGAGCAACAAAAGCAAACAAGACCACAAGUGACAAAAUUGGUUGUUCUUUUGUUGUAAUUCUAAAUGUCUGAAAUCUGAAGGAGGGUAGGUGUCAGUGAAGCAGCUAAAAAAACAGUCCUGUUUUCUCACUUUUCUCAUUUCACAAUAAUUGAUCAAUCUUGCUGUCAAAAGUCAGACUGAACGCUUUUUUGCUUCUUAGCCUAAAAAAGUAGGAUGUACCAAAAACGUUCAUUAUUUUCCAGAACUUAUGCUGCGUUUGAGUUACCUCGGAAGUCAGAUGUCCGAACUGAAAAUGAUGUCACACCUGAGUUAUCAAUGUUUCAGUUACCAAGUCGGAAAAAAACAUUGAGGUCCGUCCAACAAAUCGUCAACAUGCUAUACAAGUGUGUUACUUUUAUUUUAAAAACCUAGCCAUUUCCGUUUGGACACACGUGCCUACUGCCUAGAUCUGCAUUCGUGAACAGAGACAAGUUUAAACAUCAGCAAAAUAUACGUAGACGCCAUAUAGUUGCCAAGUCCUGUAUUAUAAAAGACUUUAGGCUUGUUUCUCCCAGAACUCGUGAGUCAUGGUUGCGCUUAUUUGGGCUUGUUUUUAACUAGUAGUUGCUUAUUUGGGUUUGCUUUUCUGUAUGUGUGAACCC